CCGGCAUGCACGUCGCAGAAUGCCCCACGUCGCUAACAGGUGUGGCUUCUUCGGACACCACAUUAUAGUAGGCUCGGAAGAGUGGAGAAGAGACAGAACAAGAAUGGGGGGAUGAGAAGAGCUGGAGAAGAUAAAGUUCCCAAACCCUGAAGAUGCACGAGAUAGGCUCAGAUGGAAAAAGAUGAGACGCUGUGGUGAACCCGUAAUGGGACAAGCCGAAAGGAAAACAAGAAGAAAUAGAAUGAGAAACGUAAUUGGCAUUAGGGUUCGUAGCAGGUGGCGGCUUGUGUGUUUAUACCUCCCAGAAGCUGUCCAUGGUGUCGUCAGCACCCGCACUUUCAUCGUAGGAGCCAGACA